rnacentral:rRNA from 1 species
UACGUAGGGUGCAAGCGUUGUCCGGAAUUAUUGGGCGUAAAGAGCUUGUAGGCGGUUUGUCGCGUCUGCUAGUUGGAAAUUUCCGGGGCUCAACCCCGGAACGUUGCAGUGGGUACGGGCAGACUAGGAGUGUGGUAGGGGAGACUGGAAUUCCUGGUGUAGCGGUGAAAUGCGCAGAUAUCAGGAGGAACACCGAUGGCGAAGGCAGGUCUCUGGGCCAUAACUGACGCUGAGAAGCGAAAGCAUGGGGAGCGAACAGG